CUCUUGCUUUUUGAUUUUGUCUUAUUAUUAAGUGCCAAAGUAGGCCAUCUUUGUGUUUGUGCCAAAAGAGUAUCUUUAUUUUUCUGAGCAGGUUGCUCUUGCUUUUUGAUUUUGUCUUAUUAUUAAGUGCCAAAGUAGUCCAUCUUUGAGUUUGUGCCAAAAGAGUAUCUUUAUCUUUCUGAGCAGGUUGCUCUUGCUUUUUGUUUUCUUGAUAAGUGCCAAAGUAGGCCAUAUUUGUGUUUUAAUAAAAAGAGUAUCUUUAUUUUUCU